AAGCACCAACUUUGCCUGCACCACACCUACUAGAAUUUCCAGGAAUUUCAUCUUCAAACAAUGACAAGGGCUAAACAUCUUCACUAGCUUCAACUUAAGUCUCUAAUAAGGACUGAGCGUUGAGUACUAGAGAAUCGUUUUUUGUUGUUGGCGUUUCAUCGAUUUGAGAUUCAUUUAAAGUUGUCUGAUGAUGAAUCCAUCUGCACUUUGGCCAAAAAAUCAGUUACAGUUAUCUCAAGCCAAAGAACAUCAUCAGAGAAGUGUGAAAAGGGGAACUAGUGUUACAAACAUAGAUGGUCCAAUCAUGACCCAACGAUAGAAAAGAAAUUCCUCUUCUGCUUUGGAAACGAGUAUUGGUCUGACCUGCUUCGAGGUUCUUCGUUUGAAUUCACCCACAACAAUGGCUUGAACAAAUGCUCGACUACAAUUUAGGCACCGGUGGAAGCUUAGUUGUGGUCUCUCCGUGGUUGAUAGCUAGUUAGCUACAAGCUCUUGAAGCAAGCCAAGACUUGACCGAGUACAUAUAAUUUCCUUUUGUGUGCUCUCAGGUGGUGCAUUGAAUGGCUUCAAGGUUCUUUUCUCGUGCUUGAUGACCUCAUGGACUACUCUGUCACAGACUCACACAGCCUCGUGGGUUCAGACAGCCAAAGGUUGGUAUCUUAUUGCUAUUAACAAUGGAUUCUACUUGGUAAUCGUAUCCACAAGAUUCUCAAAAACCACUUCAGGGGAAUACCUUGCUACGUUGACCUUGUUGAUAUGUUUAAUGAGGUACAGUUUCAAACAGCCUGUGGCCGGAUAAUUAAUUUGAUCAGUAGCUUUAGAUGGAGAAAAAUAUUUUGUCCAAGUACUCCUUCAUAUGUGAAGAAUGUUCUUGUUGACAUGGGAAUUUACUUCCAAGUACAGGUAAUUAGUUACUAAUACAUGAGAGUUCAUAUUAUGAGCUCGUUUGAAGAUCCACAAGAGCAAUACACCGCAUCUGCUAUUUCAGGAACUUAGCCUUUAAACAAUGGCAAGGGAUAGACCAGCAUGCAUAGACAUCUUCAUAGAUUCAACAAUAAUUAUUGGAGGUAAAGAGCCAUGUUUUCCCAAUUGCAGCCUUCUAAGGCCAAGAAAGAAGUAGUUCUCAUUUAAACAAGUUACUGUUGUCUCAAGCAAAAGGCUGUAGUAAGAGAAGUGUUAGAAGGGAAGUUUUCCUAGAAUUGUGAACGAAGGUGUAACUUGAGGACGAAAUGUUCGCAAAGAUUCCAAAAGUUAUUAGCUCGAACUAUGAACAAGAAGACCAUUGAUGGAGAACUAGAUAUGAUGAUGAUCCCUGCACUGGAAAAAAAAGUCAUCUUCUUCACCAAUCACCAUCUCUUGUUCUUUUGCAAGUGAGGAUGGGAGACAAGGAGGACCUUGUUGGUUUCCAUGUCGUAUUUCUCUUUUACAACUCUCAUCUUAUUAUUAUUAACUUUGACUGAUUGAUUAUAGUGAUUGAUGGUUUUUUAUUUUUUUAUUUCAUGUGUUGAUGUAUCGUUUCACUGACUGCAGGGAAAUGAGUGUUACGAACAUUGCUAGCUACUAGCUCUACCAAUCUGAUUCACUGAGUAUAAAGCCAAUCACAGGGUAAAAGCUAGAUGAUCCCAUUAUAUGAGCCAACCAUGGAGUAAUCCUUACUUUGCUCUCUAACAAUUCUGAGGAUAUAGAGAUCUACAAUCAGACCGCAUAUGCCAGUAAUCUUGGGAAUGUGGAUGUUGGAGAAGAUAUAAAGCAAGGAGAACACAAACCAGCUCUACAGUUUUCUUAGGGAGAAAAGUGUAUGGACAAGAAAAAGCAUCAAAUUGCUACAAAGAUAGCUUGAGCCAAAAUCAGCAUUUAGAAAAAGGGAACGAGUGUUAAAUUCAUGCCAUCAGAAAGCAAAAACUAGAUGUUGGAAAAUCAAGACAGAUACUCAAUCCAAAACCAGCAACUCUACUCCACAAGACAAGACAAGGUCUUUUUAACACCCAAGUUUCCCAUGUGUAAAGCUAGACCUGUGAAAGAACAUAGAGUAGGAAGAUCUCGAGAGCUCCAGCUUUGCCUGAACCACAAAGAAGUACACCAAAUCUGCUAACAGUGGCAAGGGCUAACCAGCAUGGAUAAACAUCUUUACUAGCUUCAACAAUAAUGAUUCGAGUCCUCACUUUACUGAACAAAGGAGCCUUGUAGCCCUGUGUUCCAAAAAACACUACUCCAGAACUUGAGUAAGAGCAACUCAAGAAGUCACCAAAUUUUAAGCAAAAACUUUGAACCAAAAGGUCUGAGUAGUGAGUGAUGAAUUAAGAUAUGAGCAUAAAGAAUUUUUUUUUAUUUUUUUUUGGAGUUUGAUUCAAAGUUGUCUGAAUGAAUCCAUCUGUACUUUGGCCAGAAAACUAGUCACAGUUAUGUCAAGCCAAAGGCAAUCAUCAAAAAAGUGUGAAAAGGGAGACGAUUAUUGCUCUGACCUGCUUCAAGAUCCUUCGUUUGAAUUCCAAAUAUUUGAUCAUUCGUUUAUGCUGAUUUGAUGCCUUCUCUUUGCAGAUGUACGUGGCGGUGAUAGGAGCCUCUCUCUGAAAUUCACAUCAAGCACUUGUGUGUUCGGUUUUGUUCUGCAGGGUAAUCGUGGUCUCUCCGUGUUGAUAGCUACAAGCUAUUGGAAGCAAGGCCACGACUUGACCGAUAAAGAGACUUUUCUUUAAUGUGUUCUCAGCUUCUAGCUUAUUUUCUUGUGCUUGAUGACAUCAUGGACAACUCUGUCACACACUGUGGUCAGCCUUGUUGAUUCAGACAGCCAAAGUAAACAAGGAGAGCUUCCCUUGUUCUCGGGGAUGCGGACGCCUGAGAACAUAGAAAACAAAGAGAGCAUCCAUGACCUUAUAUCAUAAGAGUUAAUUACUUAAUAAGGACUUUUCUCAAUGGCAUUUUUGUUUUUGCCAUUUUAUGUUAAAUCUUUUAGAUUUGUCACUUUUAUAGAUCUAAAAACACAACUAAAAAAAAAAAAUCACACAUUUUAACAAA